rnacentral:rRNA from 1 species
GAAUUCACUAGUGAUUGAGUUUGAUCCUGGCUCAGGAUGAACGCUAGCGGCAGGCUUAAUACAUGCAAGUCGUGGGGCAGCGCAGGUAGCAAUACUAGGCGGCGACCGGCAAACGGGUGCGGAACACGUACACAACCUUCCGAGAAGUGGGGAAUAGCCCAGAGAAAUUUGGAUUAAUACCCCGUAACAUAACGAUGUGGCAUCACAUUGUUAUUAUAGCUUCGGCGCUUCUUGAUGGGUGUGCGGCUGAUUAGAUAGUUGGCGGGGUAACGGCCCACCAAGUCUACGAUCAGUAGCUGAUGUGAGAGCAUGAUCAGCCACACGGGCACUGAGACACGGGCCCGACUCCUACGGGAGGCAGCAGUAAGGAAUAUUGGUCAAUGGACGCAAGUCUGAACCAGCCAUGC